rnacentral:rRNA from 1 species
GAUGAACGCUAGCUACAGGCUUAACACAUGCAAGUCGAGGGGAAACGGCAUUAAGUGCUUGCACUUUUUGGACGUCGACCGGCGCACGGGUGAGUAACGCGUAUCCAACCUUCCCAUGACUAAGGGAUAACCUGCCGAAAGGCAGACUAAUACCUUAUGGUCUUCACUGACGGCAUCAGAUGUGAAGUAAAGUUUUAUCGGUUAUGGAUGGGGAUGCGUCUGAUUAGCUUGUUGGCGGUGUAACGGCCCACCAAGGCUACGAUCAGUAGGGGUUCUGAGAGGAACGUCCCCCACAUUGGAACUGGGACACGGUCCAAACUCAUACGGGAGGCAGCAGUGAGGAAUAUAGGUCAAUGGGAGAGAGCAUGAACCAGCCAAGUAGCGUGCAGGAUGACGGCGCUAUGUGUUGUAAACUGCUUUUGUAUGGGGAUAAAGUCAAUCACGUGUGAUUGUUUGAAGGUACCAUACGAAUAAGGACCGGCUAAUUCCGUG